CCUACGGGAGGCAGCAGUGGGGAAUAUUGGGCAAUGGGCGCAAGCCUGACCCAGCAAAGCAGCGUGAAGGAAGACGGCUCUAGGGUUGGAAACCUCUUUUUUCAGGGACGUAGAAAGUGACGGUACCUGAGGAAUAAGCCACGGCUAACUACGAGCCAGCAGCAGCGGUAAUCCGUAGGUGGCAAGCGUUAUGCGGAUUCAUUGGGUGUAAAGGGCGUGUAGGGGGGAGGGCAAGUCAGAUGUGAAAACUCAGGGCUCAACCCUGAGCCUGCAGUUGAAACUGUGUUUCUUGAGUGCUGGGGAGGCAAUCGGAAUUCGGUGUGUAGCGGUGAAAUGCGUAGAUAUACCGAGGAACACCAGUGGCGAAGGCAGAUUGCUGGACAGUAACUGACGCUGAGGCGCGAAAGCGUGGGGAGCGAACAGGAUUAGAUACCCCUGUAGUC
rnacentral:rRNA from 1 species